CCUACGGGCGGCAGCAGUGGGGAAUAUUGCACAAUGGGCGCAAGCCUGAUGCAGCCAUGCCGCGUGUGUGAAGAAGGCCUUCGGGUUGUAAAGCACUUUCAGCGGGGAGGAAGGCGUUAAGGUUAAUAACCUUGGCGAUUGACGUUACCCGCAGAAGAAGCACCGGCUAACUCCGUGCCAGCAGCCGCGGUAAUACGGAGGGUGCAAGCGUUAUUCCGAAUUACUGGGCGUAAAGCGCACGCAGGCGGUCUGUCAAGUCGGAUGUGAAAUCCCCGGGCUCAACCUGGGAACUGCAUUCGAAACUGGCAGGCUAGAGUCUUGUAGAGGGGGGUAGAAUUCCAGGUGUAGCGGUGAAAUGCGUAGAGAUCUGGAGGAAUACCGGUGGCGAAGGCGGCCCCCUGGACAAAGACUGACGCUCAGGUGCGAAAGCGUGGGGAGCAAACAGGAUUAGAUACCCGUGUAGUC
rnacentral:rRNA from 1 species